rnacentral:rRNA from 1 species
GAUGAACGCUAGCGGGAGGCUUAACACAUGCAAGUCGAGCGAGAAAGCCCUUUCGGGGGUGAGUACAGCGGCGAACGGGUGAGUAACACGUGGGCAACCUGCCCUAGAGACUGGGAUAACGUUCCGAAAGGGACGCUAAUACCGGAUGAUGCGCGACCCGCCAAGUGGGUCGCGCCAAAAGGUAGCUUCGGCUUCUGCUCUGGGAUGGGCCCGCGCCGGAUUAGCUUGUUGGUGAGGUAACGGCUCACCAAGGCGACGAUCCGUAGCUGGUCUGAGAGGACGAUCAGCCACACUGGGACUGAGACACGGCCCAGACUCCUACGGGAGGCAG